GAUCAGGUAGGAAUACCCGCUGAACUUAA
rnacentral:rRNA from 1 species